rnacentral:rRNA from 1 species
GACGAACGCUGGCGGCGUGCCUAAUACAUGCAAGUAGAACGCUGAAGCUUGGUGCUUGCACCGAGCGGAUGAGUUGCGAACGGGUGAGUAACGCGUAGGUAACCUGCCUGGUAGCGGGGGAUAACUAUUGGAAACGAUAGCUAAUACCGCAUAAGAGUAGAUGUUGCAUGACAUUUGCUUAAAAGGUGCAAUUGCAUCACUACCAGAUGGACCUGCGUUGUAUUAGCUAGUUGGUGAGGUAACGGCUCACCAAGGCAACGAUACAUAGCCGACCUGAGAGGGUGAUCGGCCACACUGGGACUGAGACACGGCCCAGACUCCUACGGGAGGCAGCAGUAGGGAAUCUUCGGCAAUGGACGGAAGUCUGACCGAGCAACGCCGCGUGAGUGAAGAAGGUUUUCGGAUCGUAAAGCUCUGUUGUAAGAGAAGAACGAGUGUGAGAGUGGAAAGUUCACACUGUGACGUAUCUACCAGAAAGGACGCA